rnacentral:rRNA from 1 species
GACGAACGCUGGCGGCGUGCCUAAUACAUGCAAGUUGAGCGCUGAAGGUUGGUACUUGUACCAACUGGAUGAGCAGCGAACGGGUGAGUAACGCGUGGGGAAUCUGCCUUUGAGCGGGGGACAACAUUUGGAAACGAAUGCUAAUACCGCAUAAAAACUUUAAACACAAGUUUUAAGUUUGAAAGAUGCAAUUGCAUCACUCAAAGAUGAUCCCGCGUUGUAUUAGCUAGUUGGUGAGGUAAAGGCUCACCAAGGCGAUGAUACAUAGCCGACCUGAGAGGGUGAUCGGCCACAUUGGGACUGAGACACGGCCCAAACUCCUACGAGAGGCAGCAGUAGGGAAUCUUCGGCAAUGGACGAAAGUCUUACCCAGCAACGCCGCGUGAGUGAAGAAGGUUUUCGGAUCGUAAAACUCUGUUGGUAGAGAAGAACGUUGGUGAGAGUGGAAAGCUCAUCAAGUGACGGUAACUACCCAGAAAGGGACGGCUAACUACGUG